UUUUAUUCUUUAUUAAAAUUGAUGUUUGUGGUUCAAAUUAGAGCUUGUUGGAGGGCUUCAUUAGUAACCUCAAGUUAAAAGGGAUGAGACAUCAAGUUCUUACAGUUUCGUUAUCUAGAUGAAAUUCCCUCAAAAGUUGUAUAAACAUCCAUUGUGUUCUUUUAAAGAUCGUUGGAUGUUAAGAAAAGAAUGGAAUAAAAAAGAAAAUUGCAUUUUGCCUUUGUAACUCAACAGCGUGCAUGAUUGAUUUGAUAGUUGUAGUUUCUUGAACAAUAACAAUGCCAUGUGGAUACCAAAAGUUAUACAUCGAUUUGAAAAGGUUCA
rnacentral:lncRNA from 1 species